UCUAACACUAACAAUGGCGGAAGAGGUGACGAAGCCAUGGGAGCCCAUCGCUCAAUCAAUCCAAAACUUUUGGAUCGGCUACGAAGAGAGAGGAGAAGGAGACUUGAAGAAGUUCUGCGAGGAUGAAAACUUUCCGAAAGAAUACUAUGAGUAAAGCUCGCGAAUAUGUGAUGUGAUGAUGAUAUGAUUGCUCUGUUUCGGUCGCAGGGCUCAAUAUUCAAUUUGAUGUUGAUCUUAUAAUAUAAAUUUAUAUGUGGAUGUUGUGAUAUAUUGUGAUAAU